rnacentral:rRNA from 1 species
GACGAACGCUGGCGGCGUGCCUAAUACAUGCAAGUAGGACGCAGUCGCGAACGGGUGAGUAACGCGUAGGUAACUAGCUAGUAGAGGGGGCUAACUACUGGAAACGAUAGCUAAUACCGCUUACUAGUAGAUGGACCUGCGUUGUAUUAGGUAGUAGGUAGGGUAAAGGCCUACCUAGGCAACCAUACAUAGCCGACCUUAGAGGGAUAACGAGCACACUGGGACUGGGUAACUGCCCAGGAUCCUACGGGGGGCAGCAGGAGGGAAUCAUUGGAAAAUGGGGGAAACCUGACCGGGCAAAGGCGGGGGGGUGAAGAAGGUUUUCGGAUCGUAAAGCUCUGUUGUUAAGGAAGCGGUACUUAACCAGAAAGGAACGGCUAACUACGUGCCAGCAGCCGCGGUAAUUC